rnacentral:piRNA from 1 species
CAGGACAAGAGAUCUAAAUCACAGAGUCCU